AAAAAUGUUAUUUAAUUUUUAUGGUCAUUUCAUUAAAACUCAAUCGAGAAAAGCUUGUAGCACACAAGUCUCAUUCUAGCCAUUCUGUGGAAACUGAACUCAUGAAGCUCCUGACCCUAUUAUGGUUACUCAAUGGAAAGCGAAGUUCCUGGCACCAAGUCUCUUUAUGGAAAUGACUUCCUGAAUGAGUCUGGCAUUUCAUUAAUCCCGUGACCAGGCAUAGGUCAAUAGGUCAUACAACUGGUUAACAUAUUUGAUGAGGGCAAUACCCAGUUGAAUGAUGUAGAUACUAAUAUAAGAGAAGAUCAGAUAAAGCUAAAAGUUUUGUUAAAGAAACGGAUAAAUGUCUGGUGGAAUAAGGCCAGUCUAGAAAAUUAUUUACAGAAGAAUAUUAUUCCUAGAGGACUUUGUGUCCAAUUGUUUCCUGCAUUUCCUGUUGAGGAUCCCCAUUUUGGAACUAGGUGGGAAGAAUCUUGCAAAGUUUGUUCUAGAACUUUUCUGGAAUUGCUCUUGGAUUGGAUAAGAAAUCUUUAGACCAGCUUUAAGGGGAAAUUGAUAAAUUGAAGGAAUCUUUGAGAAGAAAGUUACUUUCUGAUUGUUUGGUGGCAAUUGAAACGGAGUUGAAUACUGAAUUCAAGAAGUGGGAAGGAGAGAUUCAGGCUCAAAAAGUCAGAAAAUUCAAAUGUGAUCAGACUGAUUAUUCCAAUAACGCUGUAUAUAAAUGGCAGAGAUUGGGAGGUGGGUGACCACCAUCAUGCUCCUCCUCCUCAUUAGGGGACCGUUUUUUAGACAGGUGAAUGCACAAGAUGGGUGGGGAAGAAGAAGGUGGCGACCUAUCAGUUAUGACUAGGAACCAAAGGACUCGAUACCAGAAAGAUCCGGUUCGCAAUGCCACCCAAGGCCAGAAGGAGGCGUUAAAGAUUUUUGCUACAUAAAUAUCCAGUAUGCCGUGAGGGAGGACAUUUUCUUGGAUACAUGACAGGAUGAUGUAUUUUGAAUAUCUAUGAAAACAUCGGAAUAACAUCACUGACAGUCGAAUGAACCUCAAUACCAUCUCUGAUAGUAUAAGGACAUCAUGGAGUACUAUUUACGCAAUUGGAGGGACUUUUUGGGUUUAUAUAGUAGAUUAAUCAUCCAAUAUGGUUUUAUGUACUGGUGA